UACGUAGGGUGCAAGCGUUGUCCGGAAUUAUUGGGCGUAAAGAGCUCGUAGGCGGUUUGUCGCGUCUGCUGUGAAAACUCGGGGCUUAACCUCCAGCCUGCAGUGGGUACGGGCAAACUAGAGUGCGGUAGGGGAGAUUGGAAUUCCUGGUGUAGCGGUGGAAUGCGCAGAUAUCAGGAGGAACACCGAUGGCGAAGGCAGAUCUCUGGGCCGUAACUGACGCUGAGGAGCGAAAGCAUGGGGAGCGAACAGG
rnacentral:rRNA from 1 species